rnacentral:rRNA from 1 species
AUUGAACGCUGGCGGCAGGCUUAACACAUGCAAGUCGAGCGGGGGAAGGUAGCUUGCUACUGGACCUAGCGGCGGACGGGUGAGUAAUGCUUAGGAAUCUGCCUAUUAGUGGGGGACAACAUUUCGAAAGGGAUGCUAAUACCGCAUACGUCCUACGGGAGAAAGCAGGGGAUCUUCGGACCUUGCGCUAAUAGAUGAGCCUAAGUCGGAUUAGCUAGUUGGUGGGGUAAAGGCCUACCAAGGCGACGAUCUGUAGCGGGUCUGAGAGGAUGAUCCGCCACACUGGGACUGAGACACGGCCCAGACUCCUACGGGAGGCAGCAGUGGGGAAUAUUGGACAAUGGGGGGAACCCUGAUCCAGCCAUGCCGCGUGUGUGAAGAAGGCCUUUUGGUUGUAAAGCACUUUAAGCGAGGAGGAGGCUACUUUGGUUAAUACCUAGAGAUAGUGGACGUUACUCGCAGAAUAAGCACCGGCUAACUCUGUGCCAGCAGCCGCGGUAAGAC